UACGAAGGGGGCUAGCGUUGCUCGGAAUUACUGGGCGUAAAGCGCACGUAGGCGGAUUGUUAAGUCAGGGGUGAAAUCCUGGAGCUCAACUCCAGAACUGCCUUUGAUACUGAAGAUCUUGAGUUCGGGAGAGGUGAGUGGAACUGCGAGUGUAGAGGUGAAAUUCGUAGAUAUUCGCAAGAACACCAGUGGCGAAGGCGGCUCACUGGCCCGAUACUGACGCUGAGGCACGAAAGCGUGGGGAGCAAACAGG
rnacentral:rRNA from 1 species